GAUGAACGCUGGCGGCGUGCCUAAUACAUGCAAGUCGAGCGAACAGACGAGGAGCUUGCUCCUCUGACGUUAGCGGCGGACGGGUGAGUAACACGUGGAUAACCUACCUAUAAGACUGGGAUAACUUCGGGAAACCGGAGCUAAUACCGGAUAAUAUAUUGAACCGCAUGGUUCAAUAGUGAAAGACGGUUUUGCUGUAACUUAUAGAUGGAUCCGCGCCGCAUUAGCUAGUUGGUAAGGUAACGGCUUACCAAGGCAACGAUGCGUAGCCGACCUGAGAGGGUGAUCGGCCACACUGGAACUGAGACACGGUCCAGACUCCUACGGGAGGCAGCAGUAGGGAACCUUCCGCAAUGGGCGAAAGCUUGACGGAGCAACGCCGCGUGAGUGAUGAAGGUCUUCGGAUCGUAAAACUCUGUUAUUAGGGGAGAACAAAUGUGUAAGUAACUGUGCACGUCUUGACGGUACCUAAUCAGAAAGCCACGGCUAACUACGUG
rnacentral:rRNA from 1 species